AGCUGUGUAAGUGAUUUUGGCCUCCCAGAGUCUGAAACUGCAGCUCUACAAAAUGAUUUCCAAAAGGCCUAUUUGGUAAUAUCACUGCUGACAUGGGGGUCAUGGCUCAGCUGUCCUACUGACAAGCAUCAUCUUGGCAUGCUGACUGGAGCUGGUGCUGGGAGCAUCCAGGAAAGGGAUUUUAGCUCAGAUCCAGUAUAUGCAGUGAGGUUCUUAAUUCUCCCUGAGCUAAAUAGGUGCUUAAAUGCCUUUGUGGAGUUUGGGUCUGAAUUUGUCUUACCUGUAGA